CGCGGGCAGGCGUUUUUUUGGCACUGCUGCUUCUUGGUGGGUGUACAAGUAGUAACUAGCUCACUAGCUCAAGAGACGCCAGGGGAAGACAGCAGAACGGCAAGGAACGGCGCACGGAGUUGCAGAUCUUCUUCGCUUUCGAGGGGUUUAGGCUAGAUUGAAGACGGAUAAGAUGGAUCCUCAGGUUAAACCUGACCCUGAUAACUUCGAUAAUUUGCCACCGCCACCGCCUCCUUCCAUUCCUCCUAAUGUUAACCCCAUGAAGGCCACAAAACCUAAAAGGACUCCAAUGGUUAGACCUGGCAUUGGAAGAAAGGGCAAUGCUGUGCAGCUUUUGACAACUCAUUUUAAAGUUUCUCUCAGGAACGUGGAUGAUUAUUUUUACCACUACAGUGUGGCACUGAGAUAUGAAGACGAUCGUCCUGUGGAUGGGAAGGGUGUUGGAAGGAAAGUUAUUGACAAACUGCACCAGACAUAUGACACUGAGUUAGGAAAAAGGGAUUUUGCAUAUGAUGGUGAGAAGUCUCUAUUCACCCUUGGUGCCCUUCCUCACAUCAAUAACGAAUUCACUGUGGUGCUUGAGGACCUGUCCUCAAACAGAAUUCCUGGCAAUGGAAACGCUGGAAAUAAUAGUCCAGGUGAAAGCGAUCACAAACGUGCCAGACGUCCAAAGCAUACUAAAACCUUCAAGGUUUUGUUGAGUUUUGCAGCUAAAAUACCUAUGAAAUCCAUUGCUGCAGCCUUGAAAGGCAAUGACACGGAGAACUCUCAGGAGGCUUUACGGGUUCUUGAUAUUAUUCUGCGACAGCAUGCUGCAAAACAGGGAUGUCUUCUUGUGAGACAAUCAUUUUUUCAAAACAAUCCUAAAAGCUUUACUGACAUUGGUGGUGGAGUCAUGGGAUGCAGAGGUUUUCAUUCAAGUUUCAGAACUUCACAAGGAGGACUUUCUUUGAAUAUUGAUGUCUCUACUACUAUGAUUGUGAGGCCUGGCGCAGUGGUUGACUUUCUCCUCGCAAAUCAAAAUGUCAAGAAUCCAAAUCAACUAGACUGGAACAAGGCUAGAAGAACUUUGAAAAAUUUGAGAGUGAAGACAACUCAUACCAAUCAAGAAUUUAAAAUCAUUGGGAUAAGUGACAAGCCUUGCAAAGAUGAAAUAUUCACUCUAAAGCUGAGAAAUGGAAAUGAUGGAAAUGGAAAUUCAGAUGCAGUUGAAGUAACUGUUUAUGAUUAUUUUGUGAGACAUCGGAGAAUGCAAUUGAGUUACUCUGCUAAUUUUCCUUGCUUGAAUGUCGGAAAGCCAAAAAGACCAACAUAUGUGCCCCUUGAGCUCUGCUCCUUAGUAUCAUUGCAAAGAUAUACCAAAUCUCUGUCAACAUUUCAAAGAGCUUCCCUCGUGGAAAAGUCAAGGCAAAAGCCUCGAGAACGAAUGAUUGUCCUCAGUGAGGCUUUGAGGAGCAAUAAUUAUGAUGCUGACCCAUUGCUACAUGCAUGUGGCGUUAGCAUUGCCACCACUUUUACUCAAGUAGAAGGUAGAGUAUUGCAGCCUCCCCGGCUCAGAGUUGGCAAUGGAGAGGAAUUUAUGCCAUCAAGGGGGAGAUGGAAUUUUAACCAAAAGAAAUUGAUGGAGCCAGCUCGAAUCACCCGAUGGGCUGUUGUUAAUUUCUCUGCUCGAUGUGAUGUUUCAAGCCUCAUACGUGACAUGCUCAAAUGCGCAAAUAUGAAAGGCAUUUCAAUGGAAGAACCUUUCCAGCAUAUUUUUGAGGAAAAUCCUUCGAUGAGAAGGGCACCACCUGUUGCCAGAGUGGAGGAAAUGUUUCGGCAAGUUAAGCAGAUUGAUCCAAAGUUUCUCCUCUGCAUUUUAUCUGAGAGGAAGAAUUCAGAUAUUUAUGGUCCAUGGAAGCUCAAAUGUCUAACUGCUGAUCCUGGAAUUAUUUCUCAAUGUAUCGCCCCUACAAGAGUGAAUGACCAGUACCUUACCAAUGUGCUGCUUAAAAUCAAUGCCAAGAUGGGUGGUAUAAACUCUUACUUGUCACUUGAAAGAUCAUCAGCCAUUCCUCUAGUCUCCGAUACACCAACAAUCAUUUUGGGUAUGGAUGUUUCCCAUGGAUCUCCUGGGCAUUCGGAUAUUCCUUCAAUUGCUGCGGUUGUAAGCUCAAGGCAAUGGCCAUCUAUUUCUCGCUAUAGAGCUUCUGUGCGAACACAAUCUCCUAAGGUUGAAAUGAUAGACUCACUUUUUAAGCCUGUAAUAGGGAAUACAGGAAAGAAAUAUGACAGUGGCAUGAUUCGGGAGCUGAUGGUCGAUUUCUACAUCAGUUCAGGAAAAAGAAAACCAGAAAACAUUAUCAUUUUCAGGGAUGGUGUUAGUGAAUCACAGUUUACUCAAGUCCUCAACAUUGAAUUUGAUCAAAUUAUUGAGGCAUGCAAGUUUCUUGAUGAACAGUGGUCUCCAAAGUUUACAUUGAUAAUUGCCCAGAAAAAUCAUCAUACCAAGUUUUUCCUUCCAAACUCACCUGACAAUGUCCAACCUGGGACGGUUAUCGAUAACAAAAUUUGUCAUCCUAAGAACUAUGACUUCUACAUGUGCGCUCAUGCUGGCAUGAUUGGCACAACUCGGCCCACUCAUUACCAUGUGCUAAUGGAUGAGAUUGGGUUUACUGUUGAUUCCCUGCAGGAGCUUGUUCAUUCCCUUUCUUAUGUAUAUCAGAGGAGCACAACUGCGAUAUCUGUUGUUGCACCCAUCUGUUAUGCUCACUUGGCUGCGGCACAAAUUGGACAAUUUGUGAAAUUUGAAGAUUUAUCUGAUUCGUCAUCCAGCCAAGGUGGACAGCAGCAUACCGCACCCGGAGCAAUUCCAGUGCCGGAACUUCCUCGUUUAGAUAAGAAUGUUUCUAGUUCCAUGUUCUUCUGCUGAUCUCUGGACAAUCUCAUAGUCGUCUCUAGUAGAUUUUGGGUGAAUUCUUUUGACCAUCACAAGACUAACUCGAUUAGGUCCGCUUGGAACCUCUUAGUUUAACAUUUGGCUAUGCAUUUUGGUCGACUUAUGUAGUUGUAAUCUGACAGAUACCUUGUGCCCAACAGGAAUGUCGUGUAGGCCAUCUUCAAUUUAGAUCCAAGCGCCGCCGUCCGAGUCAUCAACUCGCUGAGUCGGCGCGGCGAAGUCGGGCCGUCCACGUUUCCUCACCGUCAGCCUCCACUACGGCGGACAGCCGACUCUGAGUGGCGGCGGUGCUCCUUGCUGGCCCGCGAUCGGCAUGUGUCGGGGUGCCACCGGAGUCCGAGCUGUCAGUACGCGGUGCGGAUCUUGUCUGGGCCGGCGGUCCGGGACAUGGAGAGGAGGUAGCGCAUGGUCCAUGCGACUGCAGUCGGGGCUGCGGCGGCGGCAGAGAUCCUUACUGACUGGGGAGUUCUUGGGGUGGCGAUGGUGGAUCGGAGGGAGAAGGGACGGCCAUUAAUUAGCUUUGAAAGGAAGAAGAAACUUCUUGUGGAGCUUCAAUGGCAAAAGGCGAAAUCGUUCAUCCUAGCGUUCCAGUCGCAUCCAACCCAAGGUCAUCACAAGGAAAAUAAAUCAUGAUAGCCGAGAAAGCAAGUGUUAGAUGAGAUGAGAUACACAAGAUCCAGAAAUUUAUGCCCCGAUAUCUCCAUAAUUCGACCCCAUGUUCUGAUGGAUUUCUGGUGGAGCUUCAAGAAACAGAGUGGAGAUGUUAUACAACAGACAAGGGGGGAAUUGUUUUUUUUAAUAUAUAUAAAAAAAGAAAAUUAUGUUUUUGGUCGUA